UACGGGGGGGGCAAGCGUUGUUCGGAAUUACUGGGCGUAAAGGGCUUGUAGGUGGCCAACUAAGUCAGACGUGAAAUCCCUCGGCUUAACCGGGGAACUGCGUCUGAUACUGGAUGGCUGGAGUGUGGGAGAGGGAUGCGGAAUUCCAGGUGUAGCGGUGAAAUGCGUAGAUAUUGGGAGGAACACCAGUGGCGAAGGCGGCUCACUGGACCGGAACUGACGCUGAGGCGCGAAAGCGUGGGGAGCAAACAGG
rnacentral:rRNA from 1 species